UUAGGUGUCUCCGCUUGUAAGCAAGAACUCCGCAAUUCUCUAAGAAUAACACCUUCGAGCUCCCUGUUCUUCUCUGAAUAUGUUCAUGGAGUAGCUGGGUCUGACAGCCUGACACUCCUUUGAGCACGGGCUGCAGAGACGACAAGGUCACCGAGGGGCAUGGGCUGCUACUCGCGCGGCCGUUGUACCCCGGCUACGCUCACCGAGCUCCUCGGUGCUCAGCUGGAGUGGCUCGUGCUACGGCCGUACCUACGGAGAGGAAACAAGAACAGUAAGCCAUUCCGGCGGAGCAUGGGAUGCACAUUUAGAUGAAGACGCCGAUCCGUCUGCGGUGCCAUGAGAUGGACGCAAUCUCGGCCGCUUGUGUCGUGCCGCCUCCAUGGCGCUCAAUAGGAGGAGCAAAAGGUGCCUGUUCAUAGGCAGAUUUGUGGAAAUCAAUGGAGGACCUGGACGACAAGUACUCGGAGUAUGAACAGGGCGGCGGGUGGCAGCGCCGGGCGUGGCCGAGGGCAAAGAAGCGAAAUAGUUGACGGAUACACCAUCAGCCGGGGAAAUAAAGAGGUUGUGUGGUCUCUUAUUGAUGUUCAUCACUUCCCCUAUUUUUGGUUUGCGGUAGUCACAUCUAUGUUCGGUCCAUAGCAAGAGGAAAUGGCCAUUGUUAAGUGAAGCUAGGCUUUUUGGCCCUGCACUUGCAUUCAGUGGUUAUGCUUCUGAAACACACUUCUCUUAGCAGCGUAUGCUGAUUUUGAACUUGUGUCAUGCAGUAUCAAACAUGGCUUCAUGUGAUGGAAUGUACUCAUCAAUUUAAGAUGAUCCCUAUAGUAAUUUUGCAGCUCGACACAACUA